rnacentral:rRNA from 1 species
CGGCGAACGGGUGAGUAACACGUGGGUGAUCUGCCUCGCACUUCGGGAUAAGCCUGGGAAACUGGGUCUAAUACCGGAUAUGACUUCUGGUCGCAUGGCUGGGGGUGGAAAGAUUUAUCGGUGCGAGAUGGGCCCGCGGCCUAUCAGCUUGUUGGUGGGGUAAUGGCCUACCAAGGCGACGACGGGUAGCCGGCCUGAGAGGGCGACCGGCCACACUGGGACUGAGACACGGCCCAGACUCCUACGGGAGGCAGCAGUGGGGAAUAUUGCACAAUGGGCGAAAGCCUGAUGCAGCGACGCCGCGUGAGGGAUGACGGCCUUCGGGUUGUAAACCUCUUUCGACAGGGACGAAGCGCAAGUGACGGUACCUGUAGAAGAAGCACCGGCCAACUACGUGCCAGCAGCCGCGGUAAUACGUAGGGUGCGAGCGUUGUCCGGAAUUACUGGGCGUAAAGAGCUUGUAGGCGGUUUGUCGCGUCGUCUGUGAAAACUCACAGCUCAACUGUGAGCUUGCAGGCGAUACGGGCAGACUUGAGUACUGCAGGGGAGACUGGAAUUCCUGGUGUAGCGGUGAAAUGCGCAGAUAUCAGGAGGAACACCGGUGGCGAAGGCGGGUCUCUGGGCAGUAACUGACGCUGAGAAGCGAAAGCGUGGGUAGCGAACAGGAUUAGAUACCCUGGUAGUCCACGCCGUAAACGGUGGGCGCUAGGUGUGGGUUUCCUUCCACGGGAUCCGUGCCGUAGCUAACGCAUUAAGCGCCCCGCCUGGGGAGUACGGCCGCAAGGCUAAAACUCAAAGGAAUUGACGGGGGCCCGCACAAGCGGCGGAGCAUGUGGAUUAAUUCGAUGCAACGCGAAGAACCUUACCUGGGUUUGACAUACACCGGAAACCUGCAGAGAUGUAGGCCCCCUUGUGGUCGGUGUACAGGUGGUGCAUGGCUGUCGUCAGCUCGUGUCGUGAGAUGUUGGGUUAAGUCCCGCAACGAGCGCAACCCUUGUCCUGUGUUGCCAGCGGAUUAUGCCGGGGACUCGCAGGAGACUGCCGGGGUCAACUCGGAGGAAGGUGGGGACGACGUCAAGUCAUCAUGCCCCUUAUGUCCAGGGCUUCACACAUGCUACAAUGGCCGGUACAGAGGGCUGCGAUACCGUGAGGUGGAGCGAAUCCCUUAAAGCCGGUCUCAGUUCGGAUCGGGGUCUGCAACUCGACCCCGUGAAGUUGGAGUCGCUAGUAAUCGCAGAUCAGCAACGCUGCGGUGAAUACGUUCCCGGGCCUUGUACACACCGCCCGUCACGUCAUGAAAGUCGGUAACACCCGAAGCCGGUGGC